CCGGGGUCUGCCGCGUGGCUGGUAGUUAUGGUGGUUCACGUCGGUGCUGAACUUAGCAGGCGUCCUCGGGCCUGCGGUGAUGGCCUUUGUUUGCCAUCUGCAGAGACGGCGAGAAGCAGAGCGGCAGGUUGAAGCUUCAGAGUAUGGAUGGAGCCUUAAAAUGAAUUAAAGGUGGUGGUUGUGGACUUUUAAAAAAGCCAUGUGAAAACUCAUCGUGAGAUGUUGGCUGUCAGAAUCUUCACGAUGACAUUUCUGUAAAUGUCUUGGCCUCAAUUUCUGAGGCUGAAAAAGGGUCUUCUAGCAGCUACACUGUGGCAGCUUCCCUGGCCCUGGACCUGAAGGAGACUGUCGAGUGCGUGUGAGCACGUGAGACCUUCCGCACAGGCUUAGGUUAUCUGCCGGUGGUGUCAGAUGGGAUCAGCACAGCCCUGCCUCUGCUGCCAAUUGCUAAUGCCCAUAAAUAAUCUCCCCAAAAAGAAUCAUUUAAGAGUUCUUCAUCUUUAAAAGAAUCUAAGUGACUUGAGAUUAUCCCAGUAAACCUUUGGCAGUUAGUGAAAUUACUGUCCAACUAAGAAUAUUCAGACCUCCAGUUUGGGUGAUCUGGGUAUAAUCUCACAAUUCAAUAGUUCUGCAAUGAUUGUAAAAUGAAAUUAAUUAAUCUUUAUACUCUGUUAGGGGAGACUAAAGGGAAAUGUAUUUCCUAUGAAAUCAUUAUGUGUUGGGUUUAAAUUUUGAAGCACAAAUAAAAGUUUUUUUAAUUGACUCA